CUUCUCCAAAUUAGGACGCACGCCGCCUCCGCCGUGCUUGAACCGCUUACCCCAUCUUAGAAACAUCAUGGCCUCUCUGAGAGGCCGAAGCGCAUCCCUCCACGACCGGCAUACCAGAGACGCCGCUUGGAUGUUAGUCAAGGUGAAGGAGGCGGCGAUUUUGGUUAAAAUAUCGAAGGGAAGCGUGGAAAAAUCGCCAGCGUUGGAGGAAGACGAUAAUUUUGUUGAUCUAGAAUGGAUUGUAGAUGAAUGGGAAGCCAGGGAUUGGCUUUCUUUUAUGGGUUUGAUGUUGGGUGAAGGAAGAGAUUUGAAUCGAGAUGCAUCUGAUCGAGUCGGCCAUAUCAUUUGCUUCAUCUUCGCAUACUGCCCUUUCCUUUUCAGGUGGACGGAACCAAAGGGAAGGGAGUGAAGUGAAGUGAAAGACGAAGGCGUGGAGGAAACAGCG
rnacentral:misc_RNA from 1 species